rnacentral:rRNA from 1 species
UACGGAGGGUGCGAGCGUUGUUCGGAAUUACUGGGCGUAAAGCGCGCGCAGGCGGCUUUUUAAGUCUGACGGUGAAAUGCCGGGGCUCAACCCCGUGCCCGCCGCGGAUACUGGGAGCUGGAGACAUGUAGAGGCAAGCGGAAUUCCGGGUGUAGCGGUGGAAUGCGUAGAGAUCCGGAAGAACACCGGAGGCGAAGGCGGCUUGCUGGGCAUGGUCUGACGCUGAGGCGCGAAAGCGUGGGGAGCGAACAGG